GCUACGCAUGCAAGUCGAGCGGAGAUGGUAGCUGAAGGUGAUGAGCUGGAAGCUAUCAUCUUAGCAGCGAACGGGUGAGUAACACGUGAGCAACCUACCCUCAGCACGGGGAUAACAGCUCGAAAGGGCUGCUAAUACCCGAUGGGACCACGGCAUCGCAUGGUGCUGUGGUGAAAGGGUAGCUGGAGAGGCUAUACCGGCUGGGGAUGGGCUCGCGGCCCAUCAGCUAGUUGGUGGGGUAACGGCCUACCAAGGCGACGACGGGUAGCCGGCCUGAGAGGGUGUACGGCCACAGUGGGACUGAGACACGGCCCACACUCCUACGGGAGGCAGCAGCGGGGAAUCUUGCGCAAUGGGCGAAAGCCUGACGCAGCGACGCCGCGUGAGGGAAGAAGCCCUUCGGGGUGUAAACCUCUUUGGACGGGGAGAAGUGGAAGAUAGUACCCGUUUAAAAAGCCACGGCUAACUACGUGCCAGCAGCCGCGGUAAUACGUAGGUGGCGAGCGUUGUCCGGAAUUACUGGGCGUAAAGGGUGCGUAGGCGGCCUGGUAAGUUGAGCGUGAAAUUUUUGGGCUCAACCCAAAAGGAGCGCUCAAGACUGCCGGGCUUGAGUGCGGGAGAGGACGGCGGAAUUCCCGGUGUAGCGGUGAAAUG
rnacentral:rRNA from 1 species